ensembl:lncRNA
GUGUGACAGAAGCGCUCAGAACUGUCCCCAUCUGUCCCGUUGCCUUAAUUCUCUGACCCAGGGCUCUUGGAGUGUGUAUCGUUUACUCACCCUCAAAGUGUUUAGCAUUCAACACUCUUUCCUUUAAAAAGAAUGACCUUCCAGAGGGAUGAAAAUGAGGGACACUGGCUUCAUUUCUUUUUGUCAAGCUGUGUGGCAGGGAGAGAAACCCAGACGUUACUAGUAACUUUCUAAACCAGUGGCUCUCUUUUUCUUUAAUAUAGCCACUUUAGAAUUUAAAUAUCUGCUUUCUAAUGUCAAAGACACAAAUAUAAGUGGUAAAAAGAAACAUGACUUCCCUUGAAACAGGCUGAAUAGUCAAACCUGAGGGACCCUCUAUCAGCCUGGCAGGUGGAGGCCAACAUUUGAUCCUGCCAUAUGAAACACUCUUUACGUGGCUUAGAUGGGAAAUUAGACACCUUCCUGAUGAAAUUGGUGGAUGCCAAGAAACUGGAGAGGUAACACUUGAAUGACACGUUCUAGUACCAAAAAAGUCUGGGAGACUAGAACGAAACCUGGGAUCUUCAAAAUUCACCAGGAAGCAACAUAAAGUCCCACCUUUGGAUUAAAACAAAAAACAAUGCAAGUACAAGGUGGGGGAGAUGCAAGAGUUUCAGUGGAUGACGUUCAAUGUGAGUCAAGAAAGUGGGAUGGAACUACCCCCGAACACACACACACACACACACACACACCACACACACCACACACACACACCACACACACACCACACACACCACACACACACACCACACACACCACACACACACACCACACACACACACCACACACACCACACACACCACACACACACCACACACACCACACACACACACCACACACACACCACACACACCACACACACACACACCACACACACCACACACACCACACACACACCACACACAUACCACACGCACAACACACACACCACACACACACACCACACACACCACACACACCACACACACACACACACCACACACACACACACACACACACCACACACACACCACACACACAACACACACCACACACACACACACACACACACCACACGACAUUUAGGCUACAUAAGGAGAAAAUGUUGGUGAACCGUAUUUGUGAUUGUUGGAAACUUUAAAAAGAAUAUUGGUAACGUACAACAUUCAGAUGAGCACGCCCAAUCCUGAUGAGGGGCGCAGGCUCUGAGAAACAGUGGAAAGGACUUCAUGAGAAUGUUUAGCCCGGAGGAGAGCCAUCCUAGGACCAGAAGGUAAAAGCUGCAGGGAGACACAUUUUACUUCUUACAGACGAACAACCUUUCUACAAGUGAGAGCCUUCAGAAGGUAGAGCGCUCUGUGGUUGGUGGUGACUGACCCAUCCCUGGAGGUCUCAGCAGAGGCUUAAUGGCCAUUUGUCAUGGAUGCUGAAGGGAGGAUUCGAGCACACAGCUGGGGCAACAGGACUUUUAAGAUUCUCUCCAAUCUGGACUUUGGUGACUCUGUAAGUAGAACAGCUUCUAGUGAUUCCCCUGGUCUGGGAUGGCAAGUACACGUACUUCCCAUUUCUACCGUUUUGAACCCAGUGGCGCACCCCUCUCCAGGGCUGAACGUGGCCUCAUACCUCGGAGAACCACUAGCCAAUUGGUCAGAGUUGCCCUGUCUGGUCCUGCUUCAUAGAUGAGUAACCAAUUGUCCCGAUGGCUAGUUCCCUGCCCAGGGUCACACACCUUGAUGGGGGCAGAACCUCGACUAGACUAGCACCCUUUGAAUACCAUCUCACUUUCUCAACUCACUUUGCUUUCUUGCGCCUUUGCUGGAGCUACGUCAUUCUCUCCCCUCUCAACCACACUCCUGGUUCUUUCUAUUCGGUGGGUAACAGUGGGAGACUGCCAUCUUGCUGAGGAAAAGUGACCCCCACAGGGUGGGCUCUAGCCAGCUUUCUUAGCAUCUUCCAGACGUUGAGCCCCUUGCCUCAGUGAGAGAGAAGCCAUUCUGUUACAUAAUUUCCACCUUGAACCCCAGAUCCCCACCAUUCAGUUUGACGGAAGGAUAUACUUUGUUAUAACUUAUUAUUUUGUCCUUUGUAAAUACAAGAUGUUUAUAGGAAAUGUGUAUUCUGAACUCUACCGGCAGAAUGAGUCACUACACCAAAAUAGUUCUAUUAUUUAGAAUAUGUUAAUUUUAAAGGGACCUAAUAGGUAUUUAUUUACAUAUUCGAUCCACAUUUGUGUAAAAUCAUUUGAUACUACUAACCCAGCUUCCCGGAAAGUUGCUGCACGUGAUGUCUUAUUCCAAGUCCAUAGUUACAAUUUAGCAUACUGAUUAGCCAAAUUCCUGGGUUUUAAGAUCGAAUAUAAACGACUCUGCUUUUCGACUCAUUCAGGGGUUUUUACCCCUUGGAUUAUACCUGAAACAGGUCUCUCUGGAUUGACACCUUUCCACCUUGAAUAUCAUAUUUGCUCAUGUAAUCUGCCAUCUCCUCAUCCUCAAACAUUUGAAGAAGGAAUUGGGAGGGUCUUUUUCAUCCCUUCUCUUUGUCUUGCCUCAUUCCUUAGAAUCACCAGCAGGAAGUUGUUCCGGAGGCUGGCUUAGAGCUGUGACGGAGGCAGGGUCCCCCUGGCAAGGGCAGGGAGGGGUGUAAGGGAGGUGAUGCCUUCACUGCUCUGACCACGCCUCCAGGGCCCCCGCUGGACACUGCUGGGUGGGAGCUCUGGGUUGUCAACUGCACAGCCAGGAGCAAGGAACCCACAGAAUACCCCAUCCACCCCAAGUCACCCGUACAGUGUCAAUUAUCGCUUAAAGAGGCGGAGGCGAAUUAUAUGAGUAAAUAAUCUUUUCAGCAAAAAUGACAACUAUUUUUGUGUAUGACUAAUUUAUUUUUAUUAUUGUAAAAAUACAAUAAACUGGUUUUUAAAAGGC